AUUGAACGCUGGCGGCAGGCUUAACACAUGCAAGUCGAGCGGGGAAGGGUAGCUUGCUACCUGACCUAGCGGCGGACGGGUGAGUAAUGCUUAGGAAUCUGCCUAUUAGUGGGGGACAACAUUCCGAAAGGAAUGCUAAUACCGCAUACGCCCUACGGGGGAAAGCAGGGGAUCUUCGGACCUUGCGCUAAUAGAUGAGCCUAAGUCAGAUUAGCUAGUUGGUGGGGUAAAGGCCUACCAAGGCGACGAUCUGUAGCGGGUCUGAGAGGAUGAUCCGCCACACUGGGACUGAGACACGGCCCAGACUCCUACGGGAGGCAGCAGUGGGGAAUAUUGGACAAUGGGCGCAAGCCUGAUCCAGCCAUGCCGCGUGUGUGAAGAAGGCCUUUUGGUUGCAAAGCACUUUAAGCGAGGAGGAGGCUACUUGGAUUAAUACUCUAGGAUAGUGGACGUUACUCGCAGAAUAAGCACCGGCUAACUCUGUGCCAGCAGCCGCGGUAAUACAGAGGGUGCGAGCGUUAAUCGGAUUUACUGGGCGUAAAGCGUGCGUAGGCGGCUUUUUAAGUCGGAUGUGAAAUCCCUGAGCUUAACUUAGGAAUUGCAUUCGAUACUGGGAAGCUAGAGUAUGGGAGAGGAUGGUAGAAUUCCAGGUGUAGCGGUGAAAUGCGUAGAGAUCUGGAGGAAUACCGAUGGCGAAAGCAGCCAUCUGGCCUAAUACUGACGCUGAGGUACGAAAGCAUGGGGAGCAAACAGGAUUUAUACCCUGGUAGUUCCAAGGCGAUUCACAGUGGAUAUCAAGCUUAUCGAUACCGUCGACCUCGAGGGGGGGCCGGGUCCACCUUUGUUCUCCUUGUGAAGAAAAAAAUAGCACGCCUGGCGUAAUCAC
rnacentral:rRNA from 1 species